UACGGAGGGGGCUAGCGUUAUUCGGAAUUACUGGGCGUAAAGCGCACGUAGGCGGCUUUGUAAGUUAGAGGUGAAAGCCUGGAGCUCAACUCCAGAAUUGCCUUUAAGACUGCAUCGCUUGAAUCCAGGAGAGGUGAGUGGAAUUCCGAGUGUAGAGGUGAAAUUCGUAGAUAUUCGGAAGAAACACCAGUGGCGAAGGCGGCUCACU
rnacentral:rRNA from 1 species